GGGAGAGAGCCAGAACUUACCUGGUGCGAAGAAUAAACCUAGAAUCUCAGCAACACAGAAGAAAGAGAUUCCAAACCACAGUGACCAGGGGCCUCGGCCAGGCAACCUCAUGCAUGAGCCAAGGUCCAGGAGCCCCUGGUUUAUCACGGAACACCAAGAGGAGAGGACAUUCACCAAACUCACAGGACAUGAGACUUCCCAGCCUUCUAAAAAUUAGCUUUCCUAAUAACACAGGACCUACCAGUCUAGGAAUAAACUAUCCUAGCCAUGAGUGAUCAGAUGACAUCUGGGACCAAAGGCUCAUUUUUCUUCUAAAAUGCAUUAUCCAACGGAUUUUUAAAAAGGGGGCAAAUGUAAAGGAAAAUACCUUAAGCCCCCAAAUCACUAAAUUCAAGCUUAGAACUGCUUAUGGGAAACCUGCUUCCCGUUCUAUUCAAAGUCAUCCCUCUGCUCACUGAGGUAAGUGUAUCUGACUGCCUCCUUUGGAAAGGUGAAUCAGAAACUCAAAAGAAUGCCGUCAUUUGUCUCCCACCUACCUGUGACCUGGAAGCCCCUUCCUGCUUCAAGUUGUCCUGCCUUUUCGGACCAAACCAGUGUUCAUUUUACAUACACUGAUUGAUGUCUCAUAUCUCCCUAAAAUGUAUAAAACCAAGCUGUGCUCUGACCACCUUGGGCACAUGUUGCUAGAACAUCUUGAGGCUGUGUCACUGUGCACGACCUCAACCUUGGCAAAAUAAACUUUGUAAAUGAACUGAGACCUGCCUCAAAUUUUCGGGGUUCACAAGGUUUCUUUAUAAAUGCUUCUUAUAGAACACGAUUUUUUUACAAGUGAGGCAGGAGAAUAGGGUCUGGAGGCAGGGAACCCAGGGGCUUCACUGCGACCUCCUAGAACUAAAUUGAAAGGAGAACCCUAACUUUCCACACCAACUCCCUUUGCAAACCCCCACCUUUUCUGCGUGGCAGAUGGGAAACUUAAAGUACCUCUGAUUGGUUGUAAAAAGCAAAAUUAUGCUAAUGAGUGGUUAGCCCUUAUUAAAAAAAAUUAUGCUUUUUGCAACCAAUCAGACCUAACGAGUGUAACUAUGUAACUUCACUUCAGCCUCUGAUUGCAGGUCAAGUCUUUGUUUGCACGGAAGUCCAACUUUGUAACUUCACUUUAGCCUCUGAGGGUUGCUUUCUACAACCAAUUGCAGGUCACCACUUCAUUUACACGAGGUGACUACCAAGUGGCUAAUGGGAAGCCUUUACGUGGUAUUAGGGCUCUUGAGCCGCUACUCGCCCUGCUCCCACACUGGAGUGUACUUUCUUUCCUCCACCGCCCUCCCACCCCGCAACCCCGCCACCCCGCCACUCCCGCAACCCCCCUAGACGGAGUCUUGAUUUGUUGCCCAGGCUGGAGUGCA